CCGUAGGGGAACUGCGGUUGGAUCACCUCCUUACCUAGAUAGAUGGAAUGUGAGUGUUCACACAGAUUGUCUGAUGAAAUAGCGCGUGAAGCCAAUCUAAGAUUGACUGAAGAGCUUGAAGUCCCCUUCGUCUAGAGGCCUAGGACAUCGCCCUUUCACGGCGGUAACAGGGGUUAAAAUCCCCAAGGGGACUCCACUUUAGUGAUUUAGAAAGGCUGUGCAUCAUUAUUUUAGUGUUGUGCACCCGCUCAUGCUUUACGCAAUAAUGAUUAAGCCAAUUCAAUGAGUUGGUUUAACAAUUAUGCUCUUUAACAAUCUGGAACAAGCUGAAAAUUGAAACACACAUUGAUUGAAAAGAUAGUGUGGAGAACUCUCAAAAAGACGGCCAGCGCAUUGCGAGCACUGCCCAAUAAAGAAUGGGUGGAGAGGUGCCCAUAACCUGGCAAAAAGACAGCGUAAGACACCUUCGGGUUGUGAGGUUAAGCGAAUUAAGCGUACACGGUGCAUGCCUAGGCAGUCAGAGGCGAUGAAGGACGUGCUAAUCUGCGAAAAGCGUCGGUAAGCUGAUAUGAAGCGUACUAGCCGGCGAUGUCCGAAUGGGGAAACCCAGUGCGUUAAUGCACUAUUGUUUGAUGAAUCCAUAGUCAAACGAGGCAAACCGGGGGAACUGAAACAUCUCAAAACCCCGAGGAAAAGAAAUCAACCGAGAUUCCCCCAGUAGCGGCGAGCGAACGGGGAGCAGCCCAGAGUCAACAUCAAAAUUUACCGCAGGAGAAGGGUCUGGAAAGGCCCGCAAUAAAGGGUGAUAGCCCCGUAUCUGAGGCGUUAAGUGUUGUGAGCUCGAAGAGUAGGGCGGGACAAGUGUUAUCCUGUCUGAAUAUGGGGGGACCAUCCUCCAAA
rnacentral:misc_RNA from 1 species